rnacentral:rRNA from 1 species
GAUGAACGCUGGCGGCGUGCCUAAUACAUGCAAGUCGAGCGAACAGACGAGGAGCUUGCUCCUCUGACGUUAGCGGCGGACGGGUGAGUAACACGUGGAUAACCUACCUCUAAGACUUGGAUAACUUAGAGAAACCGUAGUUAAUACCGGAUACAUUAUUGAACCGCAUGGUUCAAUAGUGAAAGAUGGUUUAGGUGUCACUUAUAGAUGGAUCCGCGCGGCAUUAGCUAGUUGGUAAGGUAACGGCUUACCAAGGAAACGAGGCGUAGCCGGCCUGAGAGGGUGGUCGGCCACACUGGAACGGAGACACGGUCCAGACUCCUACGGGAGGCAGCAGUAGGGAAGCUUCCGCAAUGGGCGAAAGCCUGACGGAGCAACGCCGCGUGAGUGAUGAAGGUCUUCGGAUCGUAAAACUCUGUUAUUAGGGAAGAACAAAUGUGUAAGUAACUAUGCACGUCUUGACGGUACCUAAUCAGAAAGCCACGGCUAACUACGUG